rnacentral:misc_RNA from 1 species
AACUGAUACUACCUGCGGGAACCUGCGGAGGGAUCAUUACCGAGUUUUCAACUCCCUAACCCUUCUGUGAACCUACCUAUCGUUGCUUCGGCGGACUCGCCCCAGCCCGGACGCGGACUGGACCAGCGGCCCGCCGGGGACCUCAAACUCUUGUAUUCCAGCAUCUUCUGAAUACGCCGCAAGGCAAAACAAAUGAAUCAAAACUUUUAGCAACGGAUCUCUAGAUCGGAAGAGCACACG